UUACAACUUUUGGCAAUGGAUGUCUUGGGUCCCACAACGAUGAAGAACGCAGCGAAAUGCGAUACGUAAUGCGAAUUGCAGGACCUCGUGAAUCAUCAAAAUUUUGAACGCACAUUGCGCUUCUGGGUUAUUCCCAGGAGCAUACUUAUCUGAGUGUCCCGAAACC
rnacentral:rRNA from 1 species